rnacentral:rRNA from 1 species
GAUGAACGCUAGCGGGAGGCUUAACACAUGCAAGUCGAGGGGCAGCAUAGGGUAGCAAUACUCUGAUGGCGACCGGCAAACGGGUGAGUAACGCGUAUGUAACCUACCCUGUACAGGGGGAUAACCCGGAGAAAUUCGGACUAAUAUCCCAUAACAAUAUCCGGGGGCAUCUUUGGAUAUUUAAAGUUCCGGCGGUACGGGAUGGGCAUGCGUAACAUUAGCUAGUUGGCAAGGUAACGGCUUACCAAGGCUUUGAUGUUUAGGGGUCCUGAGAGGGUGGUCCCCCACACUGGUACUGAGACACAGACCAGACUCCUACGGGAGGCAGCAGUGAGGAAUAUUGGUCAAUGGGCGCAAGCCUGAACCAGCCAUCCCGCGUGCAGGAAGACGGCGCUAUGCGUUGUAAACUGCUUUUCCAGGGAGAGAAACUUGCGCACGUGUUGCGCAAUUGACGGUACCCUGGGAAUAAGCAUCGGCUAACUCCGUGCCAGCAGCCGCGGUAAACUGU